ACUAACAUAAACCUCCACCAGAAUCCUUGGGACUGGUUGCGCCGAUUCCCAACCUCAUCAGCUUGGCAUCAAAAACAAAACGGUUUGACGUGAAUACCGUUUUCCGCCAAGCAAUUUACCGUGCGACACAGUACGGUAAGUUCACAGUACUGCACAGUACGGUAAGAAGUUCAACUCAAAUUUCGAGGCUUUCACCCCAAGUUGAGUGUCAAGUUUGUAAGGAUCCAGCUCAAAUCAAGUCUCAAGUCUUUGAAGGCCAACUCUGUUUAGCACAUUUUUAACAUUACCUUAUUAAAUAAAUUCUUGUUUGGUUCGGACCGGUUUAGCUCCUU